GGCCGUUCGCGGCAACUUAGAACGCCAUGAUGGCAGCACUUUCCUUGCGAUAGUAACUUCUAGUAUUUUGCUUAUACUGUAUGUUGUAUUUGAGCCAAAGUAUACGGUAUACCACACUCAAUUUGACUCUUUAAACUAUUUGGCAGCUUCUCUCAAACAGCCAAAAAUAGUACGCGAGUUGAAAUAAAACACCUCAAAUAAUAUCGAACGGAAUUAUCUGUUAGAAAUGAUUGGAUCUCUUCGAGCCAGGUUCAACAUACCAAUAUUUCCAACUACUUGCAAAGCGAUUUCUCAUAUAAAGAUGUAAAAAGAAUAAAAACAGCUGGAUAGAAAUAAAAGGAAAAAAUAUUGAAAAUAUGAACUCGACGCGACUCGAACUCAAAGGUUUGUCGAGACAGUCCAAACGACCUGCCACUAAGCCACCGAGGGAGAACGAAAGUUUAUGUCAAAUUAAACACUAUAGCUAAUUGUCGUCACGCGCUUAUCUUAUGCGGUGAAAUAGUUUAUUAGGCGGUGAAUUGCGGUGAAGAAUAUAGGCCGUUCGAGGCAACUUAGAACGCCAUGAUGGCAGCAGAUUGCUUGCGAUAGUAACUUCUAGUAUAUUGCUUAUACUGUAUGUUGUAUUUGGGCCAAAGUAUACGGUAUACCACACUCAAUUUGACUCUUUAAACUAUUUGGCAGCUUCUCUCAAACAGCCAAAAAUAGUACGCGAGUUGAAAUAAAACACCUCAAAUAAUAUCGAACGGAAUUAACUGUUAGAAAUGAUUGGAUCUCUGCGAACCAGGUUCAACAUACCAAUAUUUCCAACUACUUGCAAAGCGAUUUCUCAUAUAAAGAUGUAAAAAGAAUAAAAAAGCUGGAUAGAAAUAAAACGAAACAAUAUUGAAAAUAUGAACUCGACGCGAUUCGAACUCAAAGGUUUGUCGAGACAGUCCAAACGACCUACCACUAAGCCACCGAGGGAGAACGAAAGUUUAUGUCAAAUUAAACACUAUAGCUAAUUGUCGUCACGCGCUUAUCUUAUGCGGUGAAAUAGUUUAUUAGGCGGUGAAUUGCGGUGAAGAAUAUAGGCCGUUCGAGGCAACUUAGAACGCCAUGAUGGCAGCAGAUUGCUUGCGAUAGUAACUUCUAGUAUAGUUCUUAUACUGUAUGUUGUAUUUGGGCCAAAGUAUACGGUAUACCAUACUCAAUUUGACUCUUUAAACUAUUUGGCAGCUUCUCUCAAACAGCCAAAAAUAGUACGCGAGUUGAAAUAAAACACCUCAAAUAAUAUCGAACGGAAUUAACUGUUAGAAACGAUUGAAUCUCUGCGAACCAGGUUCAACAUACCAAUAUUUCCAACUACUUGCAAAGCGAUUUCUCAUAUAAAGAUGUAAAAAGAAUAAAAAAGCUGGAUAGAAAUAAAAGGAAAAAAUAUUGAAAAUAUGAACUCGACGCGAUUCGAACUCAAAGGUUUGUCGAGACAGUCCAAACGACCUACCACUAAGCCACCGAGGGAGAACGAAAGUUUAUGUCAAAUUAAACACUAUAGCUAAUUGUCGUGACGCGCUUAUCUUAUGCGGUGAAAUAGUUUAUUAGGCGGUGAAUUGCGGUGAAGAAUUUUGGC
rnacentral:lncRNA from 1 species